rnacentral:rRNA from 1 species
AUUGAACGCUGGCGGCAGGCCUAACACAUGCAAGCCGAGCGGAUGAAGGGAGCUUGCUCCUGGAUUCAGCGGCGGACGGGUGAGUAAUGCCUAGGAAUCUGCCUGGUAGUGGGGGAUAACGUCCGGAAACGGGCGCUAAUACCGCAUACGUCCUGAGGGAGAAAGUGGGGGAUCUUCGGACCUCACGCUAUCAGAUGAGCCUAGGUCGGAUUAGCUAGUUGGUGGGGUAAAGGCCUACCAAGGCGACGAUCCGUAACUGGUCUGAGAGGAUGAUCAGUCACACUGGAACUGAGACACGGUCCAGACUCCUACGGGAGGCAGCAGUGGGGAAUAUUGGACAAUGGGCGAAAGCCUGGUCCAGCCAUGCCGCGUGUGUGAAGAAGGUCUUCGGAUUGUAAAGCACUUUAAGUUGGGAGGAAGGGCAGUAAGUUAAUACCUUGCUGUUUUGACGUUACCAACAGAAUAAGCACCGGCUAACUUCGUG